UAUUAAAACAAAGUAGAAAUAACGUCAAGACUGUAUAAAUUAAAAAUACCGUAAAAGAGAAUGGAGAGGGGAGGAAAGAGGGGGAGCUAGAGGCAUGGAUCAAGUGAGAAAGAAAACUAAUCAAGAGCACAAGACAAUGAGUUCAAAGCCUUGGUGAGGGGUAUGGACAGUGUUCAUGUAUAGAUAACCUAUAGGAAAAAGGCUACUGUGGGAAAUAACAAACCAGAUAUACUAUAUAUUCUACUGUUAUAGUGGCUAUUCCUUUCAUGGCUUCAGGAUAAGAUAAAGAAAAUCUUAAGACCUCCAAAAGCAACACUAAUGGACACUAAAUUUGGGAUUUCUAUGAAAUGAUACAAUAUUCUCAAUGUACAUAACCAAGAACUAUGUAAAAGAUGGCUACAAAGCAACUAGAAAAGGCUUAUUAAUCCAAAUAAUAAGUUUAGAAAUCUGACAGUAAGAUCACAAAAAGGAUAGCCAAAUGAUUCAUAAAUUGAAAAAUUUUUAUGCUCAGUAAGCAAGAAAUAAACUAGACCAAAAUAAUAGAUCACUCCCUACACAUCUAGCAGAAUAACUAAAAUUAAAGCCAAUUAACAGUGAGUUUGUUGAGCGAGUGAAAAACACAUUGCUGAUGAGUGGAAAACACAUUGCUGAUAGGUACCUAAAUAUAACCACUUUUAAACAAUAGCAGUCGGUAAAGUCAAACUUAAGGCACAGUCUAGUUACAUACUUCAAAGAAAUCCAAAUAAACAUAAACCAAACUAGGUACAAGCAUAUUAACCAAAGUUUUAUUUCCAAACUAGAAACCAUCUCAAUAUGCAGACCAGUAGAUGAAAAAACUAUGACCUAAUUAUAUGAUGAAAUACUAUAUCACAAAAAUAUAAAUAAGGGGCUGGGAAUAUGGCCUAGUGGUUGAAUGCUUGCUUCACAUACAUGAAACCCUGGGUUCAAUUCCUCGGCACCACAUAUAUG